AUGGCAACAUAUUUAGCUGACUGAUACUAAUAGGUCGAGGGCUUGACCAA
rnacentral:rRNA from 1 species